UACGAAGGGGGCUAGCGUUGUUCGGAAUUACUGGGCGUAAAGGGCGCGUAGGCGGUACUUCAAGUCAGGCGUGAAAGCCCCGGGCUCAACCUGGGAACCGCGCUUGAGACUGGAGAACUAGAGUUCGGGAGAGGAUGGUGGAAUUCCCAGUGUAGAGGUGAAAUUCGUAGAUAUUGGGAAGAACACCCGUGGCUAAGGCGGCUCUCUAGUACGGUACUGACGCUGAGACGCGAAAGCGUGGGGAGCGAACAGG
rnacentral:rRNA from 1 species